rnacentral:rRNA from 1 species
GAUGAACGCUGGCGGCGUGCCUAAUACAUGCAAGUCGAGCGAACGGACGAGAAGCUUGCUUCUCUGAUGUUAGCGGCGGACGGGUGAGUAACACGUGGAUAACCUACCUAUAAGACUGGGAUAACUUCGGGAAACCGGAGCUAAUACCGGAUAAUAUUUUGAACCGCAUGGUUCAAAAGUGAAAGACGGUCUUGCUGUCACUUAUAGAUGGAUCCGCGCUGCAUUAGCUAGUUGGUAAGGUAACGGCUUACCAAGGCAACGAUGCAUAGCCGACCUGAGAGGGUGAUCGGCCACACUGGAACUGAGACACGGUCCAGACUCCUACGGGAGGCAGCAGUAGGGAAUAUUGGACAAUGGGGGCAACCCUGAUCCAGCAAUUCUGUGUGCACGAUGAAGGUCUUCGGAUUGUAAAGUGCUUUCAGCAGGGAAGAAAAAAAUGACGGUACCUGCAGAAGAAGCGACGGCUAAAUACGUGCCGGCAGCCGCGGUAAUACGUAUGUCGCGAGCGUUAUCCGGAGUUAUUGGGCAUAAAGGGCAUCUAGGCGGCCGGAUAAGUCUGGGGUGAAAACUUGCGGCUCAACCGCAAGCCUGCCCUGGAAACUAUGCGGCUAGAGUACUGGAGAGGUGGACGGAACUGCACGAGUAGAGGUGAAAUUCGUAGAUAUGUGCAGGAAUGCCGAUGAUGAAGAUAGUUCACUGGACGGUAACUGACGCUGAAGUGCGAAAGCUAGGGGAGCAAACAGGAUUAGAUACCCUGGUAGUCCUAGCUGUAAACGAUGAUUACUGGGUGUGGGCAUGAAGAGUGUCCGUGCCGAAGCUAAUGCGAUAAGUAAUCCGCCUGGGGAGUACGGCCGCAAGGCUGAAACUCAAAGGAAUUGACGGGGACCCGCACAAGCGGUGGAGCAUGUGGUUUAAUUCGACGCAACGCGAGGAACCUUACCAGAUCUUGACAUCCUGCGAAGGCCUGCGAGAGCAGGCUGUGCCUCCGGGAACGCAGAGACAGGUGGUGCAUGGCUGUCGACAGCUCGUGUCGUGAGAUGUUGGGUUAAGUCCCGCAACGAGCGCAACCCCUAUUGCCAGUUACCAUCAUUAGGUUGGGGACUCUGGCGAGACUGCCUGCGAAGAGCAGGAGGAAGGCGGGGAUGACGUCAAGUCAUCAUGCCCCUUAUGAUCUGGGCUACACACGUGCUACAAUGGCCGGCACAGAGAGCUGCGAGGCGGCAACGCCAAGCCAACCUUCAAAGCCGGUCCAAGUUCGGAUUGAAGCCUGCAACUCGGCUUCAUGAAGCUGGAAUCGCUAGUAAUCGCAGAUCAGCAAUGCUGCGGUGAAUACGUUCUCGGGUCU